GCCCCAGUAGCUCAGUUGGUUAGAGCACGUGCGUGGUAAGCACGGGGUCGCGAGUUCAAAUCUCGCCUGGGGCU
rnacentral:tRNA from 1 species